UACGUAGGGCGCGAGCGUUGUCCGGAAUUAUUGGGCGUAAAGAGCUCGUAGGCGGCCUGUUGCGUCCGCUGUGAAAUCCCAGGGCUCAACCCUGGGCGUGCAGUGGAUACGGGCAUCACUGGAGUUCGGCAGGGGAGACUGGAAUUCCUGGUGUAGCGGUGAAAUGCGCAGAUAUCAGGAGGAACACCGGUGGCGAAGGCGGGUCUCUGGGCCGAUACUGACGCUGAGGAGCGAAAGCGUGGGGAGCAAACAGG
rnacentral:rRNA from 1 species